AGUAAAAUCUCCAGUGUUGAAAUCCUGGUGUUAAGGACUUUUAGAGUAAAGUGUUAAUUUUCUGGUGUUGAAUUUCAAGGGAUUAACACUGCUAGUGUAAACCACACUCUCUGGCUGGUGAAAAUAUGUGGAGUUAUACACCAGAGAUGCUUUGAGAACACCGAGAGUGUUACUAGUCACAUCCGGGACAUUUACGCGCUGGGCGGGACGAAACAAGUUGAAACUUUCUUCACAGGCGCCAUUUUCUUUGACUCGAGUCGCAAGACAUGCGAGGAGGAAACACGCAUUUAUUAUGCGUUAAAUCGCAUUUAUAUAUUCAUUUUAUAACACCAUAUUGUUUUAUAACAAUAUGUAUGUGCUGUGGACGAGCAAACCGCUCUCAGAAGGGGUAUUUUCUAUGACGCGCGAUGCGGAGCAGACCAGGAUGGGUUUGCUUUUUAACAGGGAAACAACGAAAACGACAUCAUCUUUGAAACACGGAGCUGACGAGGAGGAGGCUUGUAGCUAACGUUAACAGGGAAACACCUAAAUCUAGGUCCUGCAUCUUCUUUGACUCGUGACCUGCUCGUGACGCAUUUCAAAAAGCAGUGCAAAGUGCAGACACGGAGUUUGCUUUUAACAAUAAAAACACCGAUUAAACCUAACGUUAACGUAUAAAACAGAAGAACAACUCCACAAACUGCGGACCAACAAUGCACGUGGAAUUUGCACUUUAUUUCCUUAUUUGGAGGACCAAUCUUUUUAGAAUGGGAGCAUUUCUAUGAUGCACUAUGAUUUCUAUGAAGUGACUAAGGGUACCAGGCUUGGUGUUUAAAGACUGUACAGACUAGAACCUGGUGAUGGAAAGAGAACAGAUAAGUAAACAUAUGAGAGAAUCAUGGGCACAAACAAAAAAUAAUCAUAGCUUGGUUGUUAUUUGGUAUAGCUAGAUUUUCUUUGUUUUAUAACACUCAUUUUGAAUUUGUCCAGUCAAAUUCAUUUACAAAAGUAAAUUUAGUAUAUAUAUAUAUAUAUAUAUAUAUAUAUAUAUAUAUAUAUAUAUA